rnacentral:rRNA from 1 species
CGCGUAGGCGGCAAGGCAAGUGGAAGGUGAAAUCCCCCGGGCUCAACCUGGGAACUGCCCUCCAGACUGCUUUGCUUGAGUCCGGGAGAGGUGAGUGGAAUUCCCAGUGUAGCGGUGAAAUGCGUAGAUAUUGGGAGGAACACCAGUGGCGAAGGCGGCUCACUGGACCGGAACUGACGCUGAGGCGCGAAAGCGUGGGGAGCAAAC